AUUGAACGCUGGCGGCAGGCCUAACACAUGCAAGUCGAACGAGUGGCGGACGGGUGAGUAAUGUCUGGGAAACUGCCUGAUGGAGGGGGAUAACUACUGGAAACGGUAGCUAAUACCGCAUACCAUCAGAUGUGCCCAGAUGGGUUUAGCUAGUUGGUGGGGUAACGUCUAACCAAGGCGACGAUCCCUAGCUGGUCUGAGAGGAUGACCAGCCACACGGGAACUGGGAAACGGUCCAGACUCCUACGGGGGGCAGCAGUGGGGAAUAUUGCGCAAUGGGCGCAAGCCGGAUGCAGCCAUGCCGCGUGUAUGAAGAAGGCCUUCGGGUUGUAAAGUACUUUCAGCGGGGAGGCGUUACCCGCAGAAGAAGCACCGGCUAACUCCGUGCCAGCAGCCGCGGUAAUUC
rnacentral:rRNA from 1 species